rnacentral:lncRNA from 1 species
UAAGGGAUCUCUGCAGCCCUUUCAUUCUGAUACAAUUGAGUAAUAUGUAUGUUACAUGAGUUUUGUCUAAACAACCAAGAUAGGCAUACAUGAACAUCUUUAACUAUAACAACUCUCUUGAGCCUUGUCAUGCUUUGUCACAGGAAAGCGACGAUUAUGCGCUCUAUUGUGAUGCUUGUGUUUUAAAAAUCACGAGGCAGGAACAUGAUCCCGUAGAGUGUAAUUGCAUCUUCACUGUCCAAUAUGAGUAUGACAACUCCGAGGUGAUCUUUGAUGCUUUCUUCUAUCGACUUGCUACUUUACCUUGUUUCCCGUCCCGAAAACCAUGCCAUGUCAUAAGCAUUCUCGCUAUAUGUUAGAUCAAUCCUUGGGUGUUCCUCUACCUAACAUUGUUUCAUAUGCAUGUACAGGCAGAUGUUUAUGGGAAGGACAUAUGCUGUAGACCUUCAGAAGAGAAAUCUGUGGCUUUGGCCUUGCCAAUGCAGAGCAUAGAGAGCUUGUGGGGUUGAAAAUAGUCAUUUUUGUUGUUGACAAUGGUUGGAUUUAUAACGACUUGGAAACAGUCUAUCCGCUUGCAAGGGUAAGGCUGCGUAUAUCUAUCAUCCCAAUAGACUCCACUUAGUGGGAGCCUCGUGCACUGAGCCGCCCUUUUUAAUGAUUGGAUAUAUAAUAAGAAACAGAAUAAGAUGGAAUGGGAUAUAACAAAACAAAAUAAUUGUUCAAAUUUUGGAUAUUUUAUUAUGUAUCUGAAUAAAUUUGUUGCCAGUAUGUUAUAACUCUACAAUUGUUAAAUUACCCUUAUCAUAAAUUGCAACGUAGUUUUUGUAAACGUUAUUUCUCCAAAGUUAAGUUGAACAUGAUCAGUGUAUAGAAGGUAACCUUGAACAAGUGUAUGAAAUUAAGAUCAGUGUAUACUAAUCUCUUGCAGGGUGCAUGACUGUCUUUUCUAAUAAGUAUCGCUCCUAGUAAUUGAACCCUUGACAUUUUAAUCAUUCCAGGGAUCUAGCUGGACUUUAUUUAUACAAGACCAAUACUUUGUUGGUAAAUUAUGAUAUUUGGAUAAAUGAUUGAAAGCUGAUAAAGUAUAGGUGGGCAAUGUUUUUACUGGACUUCAAUCAAACAACAUCAAAUAUUGAGCAUGAUUGUGUCAGUACAAACACAAACAAAAUAUUUUGACCGUAAUAUAGUUUAAUUAGUGACUCAUGCGUUGAAACAGUAAAAUGAGGAAUCGAUACUCUAACUAGUUGAAUCAUCACGAUGGUUUUAAUAACACCAAGUAUAAUCUAAAAUUAAUAAGUUGCUUUUAUACUUUGGUUUGUCUUUGGUAAACUUGAUGGGUACAUUCAAUCAUGUAUAGGUUUGAUCCAUAGGUACUAGAGAGUUUCAAGCAAGUUAAGAGCAUAUAACAACACAGUAGUUAAUUAAAUGGAACAUUUAUAUAUAUUUUUAACCUCGAUCCAAGGCACAAAUCAUUCCCAGAGACAAUCAAAUAUUCAAUGCAAACAUGUUAAUCAAUUUUGCAUUUUAAAAUUGUUGUUAGCUUUAAACUACCAUCAUUGCACUUCUUAAGGUAAUGUACUCGUCAUAUCCAUCAGUAAGUAGGGCCAUAUGGGAUGCAUUUUUCGUAAUUAUAAUAAACGGAAUAUAAUUCCAACCACAAUUUAAAAAAAUUAGUAAGUUCUUGUCUAACAUAUCACAUUGGGUUAGAACAAAGUUCUCCAUAAUUAAGUAUGGAACAAUGAAAUUACCAUGAUCUAGUUGCAUCUGUUAAUUUAAUAAUGAAUGUGGUCCAUGUGCAUGAAAGUCACUAAUUUGAAUGAAAGUGCCUAAUGUGAUGAUGGUUAGCAAUUAAAUAAGAGGUGAAUCAGAUUAGUUUAGAUUAAAUAGGGAGAGAAGGGCAGAAAAGGAGUAUUUAGAAUUGUUAGUUUGUGGGAACAUGGCAUUAGCUCCAUUGAAAAUGGGAAAUCCUUGAAGGAGUUCUUUUUUUUUCUUUCUGUUGUGAUUCAACCAAUCAAUAGAUUUAUUAAUAUUCACUCUAUUUCUAUGAAUUUAAUAGCUCUCUUUCCUGGGUUUUUAAGGGUUUAUGUUCCCUUUUUAUUUUGAAGUUAAAGUAAGCAUAUUCGUAGUUGACUUUGCUAAUGUGGAUAACCUUUUAGCUUGGCUAAAGAAAUUCUAACAUCAAGAAUCAAGGUCUUUUCUAGUGCCUCAACAUAGUUCCUUAGACUGACAAGGCUUUGACAUUACAUAAGAAAUUUACUAAGGAUGUCAAAAGCACUAUUUAAUUUUCCGGUGUCAUUCCCAGACACUGUUAUUGAGGUGAGCUUGAUGCAAUGGUAAGGUUGUUGCUUAGUGACUAUGAGGUGACAGGUUCAAUUCCUGGAAACAGUCUCCCCACUUACAGGGGUAAGACUACGUACAUCUAUCCUCCCCAUACUCCACUAAGUAGAGGCCUUGUGCAUCGGGCCGCCCUAAUAAUUCCCAGACUCUGUUAUUAUUGGGUGGACAACAUAAUUUGAUCUGAUAAUGUGUUUUUGAAUGUGACAAGUUAUUCAUGAUUGAACUAGCUGCCUGCUUAAUUUCCUUAAUUGCUUCAUAAACCAGAGGCUAGCCUCUUCAAAAACAUAAUUGAUUUGUUCCUUCAUGAUAAUACUGUUCUUUUGUUUUUCGGUUUUGUUCGAAUAAUAACUAAUUAUUUGUAAAACUCUUAUCAAUAAAUUCACUAAGAGAAUCAUAUUCAUCUUAAUCCCAAAGAAAUAUAUUUCUAGUUUUAAUAAGUACAUACAUAUUGUUCCAGCAAGAUCUUAAAACUAUGUUGUAUAUAUUGAGAUAUUUCCCCUUCCUUUUAAGAGAAUAGAAAGUCAGAAAAUGACUAUACAAGUUAUACUUUAUUGUUUUACCUGUGAACAAUGGAUGCAAUUUAUUUGGAUAUUGUUGGCAAAUGAUUAAUGUAUCUUGUCAAAUACAUAAAGGAAGUUCGUGUGCGAUAUGCCGGAUUUGGUAAGGACGAGGAUGAAUGGGUCAAUGUAAAAGGGGGGGUGCGCCAAGCAUCCACCCCGUUGGAACCUUCCGAGUGUCACAAGGUGAAGGAUGGAGAUAUUGUACUAUGUUUCAAGGUAAGGGAUCUCUGCAGCCCUUUCAUUCUGAUACAAUUGAGUAAUAUGUAUGUUACAUGAGUUUUGUCUAAACAACCAAGAUAGGCAUACAUGAACAUCUUUAACUAUAACAACUCUCUUGAGCCUUGUCAUGCUUUGUCACAGGAAAGCGACGAUUAUGCGCUCUAUUGUGAUGCUUGUGUUUUAAAAAUCACGAGGCAGGAACAUGAUCCCGUAGAGUGUAAUUGCAUCUUCACUGUCCAAUAUGAGUAUGACAACUCCGAGGUGAUCUUUGAUGCUUUCUUCUAUCGACUUGCUACUUUACCUUGUUUCCCGUCCCGAAAACCAUGCCAUGUCAUAAGCAUUCUCGCUAUAUGUUAGAUCAAUCCUUGGGUGUUCCUCUACCUAACAUUGUUUCAUAUGCAUGUACAGGCAGAUGUUUAUGGGAAGGACAUAUGCUGUAGACCUUCAGAAGAGAAAUCUGUGGCUUUGGCCUUGCCAAUGCAGAGCAUAGAGAGCUUGUGGGGUUGAAAAUAGUCAU